rnacentral:rRNA from 1 species
CCUACGGGAGGCAGCAGUAGGGAAUCUUCCACAAUGGACGAAAGUCUGAUGGAGCAACGCCGCGUGAGUGAAGAAGGGUUUCGGCUCGUUAAGCUCUGUUGGUAGUGAAGAAAGAUAGAGGUAGUAACUGGCCUUUAUUUGACGGUAAUUACUUAGAAAGUCACGGCUAACUACGUGCCAGCAGCCGCGGUAAUACGUAGGUGGCAAGCGUUGUCCGGAUUUAUUGGGCGUAAAGCGAGUGCAGGCGGUUCAAUAAGUCUGAUGGGAAAGCCGUCGGCUCAACCGGAGAAUUGCAUCAGAAACUGUUGAACUUGAGUGCAGAAGAGGAGAGUGGAACGCCAUGUGUAGCGGUGGAAUGCGUAGAUAUAUGGAAGAACACCAGUGGCGAAGGCGGCUCUCUGGCCUGCAACUGACGCUGAGGCUCGAAAGCAUGGGUAGCGAACAGGAUUAGAUACCCGUGUAGUC